GAUGAACGCUGGCGGCGUGCCUAAUACAUGCAAGUCGAGCGAACGGACGAGAAGCUUGCUUCUCUGAUGUUAGCGGCGGACGGGUGAGUAACACGUGGAUAACCUACCUAUAAGACUGGGAUAACUUCGGGAAACCGGAGCUAAUACCGGAUAAUAUUUUGAACCGCAUGGUUCAAAAGUGAAAGACGGUCUUGCUGUCACUUAUAGAUGGAUCCGCGCUGCAUUAGCUAGUUGGUAAGGUAACGGCUUACCAAGGCAACGAUGCAUAGCCGACCUGAGAGGGUGGUCGGCCGCACUGGAAGUGGGACACGGUCCAGGGGCCUGCGGGAGGGCGCAGUAGGGAAUCUUCCGCAAUGGGCGAAAGCAUGGCGGAGCAACGCCGCGUGAGUGAUGAAGGUCUUCGGAUCGUGAAACUCUGUUAUUAGGGAAGAACAUAUGUGUAAGUAACUGUGCACAUCUUGACGGUACCUGAUCAGAAAGCCACGGCUAACUACGUG
rnacentral:rRNA from 1 species